CAGCUAGUUGGUAAGGUAAUGGCUUACCAAGGCGAUGACGGGUAGGGGACCUGAGAGGGUGGCCCCCCACAAUGGAACUGAAACACGGUCCAUACACCUACGGGUGGCAGCAGUAGGGAAUAUUAGUAAUGGGCGAAAGCCUGAACUAGCAACGCCGCGUGUGCGAAGAAGGCCUUCGGGUCGUAAAGCACUUUUUGAGAGGAUGAGGAAGGACGGUACUCUCAGAAUAAGUCUCGGCUAACUACGUGCCAGCAGCCGCGGUAACACGUAGGAGGCAAACGUUAUCCGGAUUUACUGGGCGUAAAGCGCGUGUAGGUGGUUUGGUAAGUAGGGCGUGAAAGCUCCUGGCUCAACUGGGAGAGGACGUUCUAAACUGCCAAGCUUGAGGAUGGUAGAGGGAGGUGGAAUUCCGGGUGUAGCGGUGGAAUGCGCAGAUAUCCGGAGGAACACCAGUGGCGAAGGCGGCCUCCUGGACCACUCCUGACACUCAGACGCGAAAGCUAGGGUAGCAAACGGGAUUAGAGACCCCGGUAGUCCUAGCCCUAAACGAUGUAGACUUGGCGUCGGUGGUUUAAUCGCCAUCGGUGUCGUAGCUAACGCGAUAAGU
rnacentral:rRNA from 1 species